AUGGACAGAGUCUCAUCCGUCCCCGUAGAUUUCACAAGAGAGUCUGGGACAACUUACAAAAACGGAGUUUGGAGCUCAUUCAGUGCCAAAAGUGAUUUUAUUUCAUGGUGUUGGGGGAGGACCCGGUGGCUGUGGGAGGAUCCUGCCCUCUCUUCUUGCCUUGUUAUGCAUUUCUCUCCGCCAUGGACAGCUGGGAAUGGCUCACCCCUGCGGAGGAGCCUGCAUGGAACUGCUUUCCCGCUCAUCCCCAUAGUAGUGGAGCAGACCGGUCAAGGCGAUCGCGCUUAUGCCCGAUUGAUGACAGUGUGGCCAGUCUGGUCAUAGCCCAGCUGUUGUUCUUACAGUCUGAGAGCAACAAGACACCCAUUCAUAUGUACAUCAACAGCCCAGGUGGUGUGGUGACUGCGGGCCUGGCUAUCUACGACAUAAUGCAGUACAUUCUGAACCCCAUCUGCACAUGCUGUGUUGGACAGGCUGCCAACAUGGGCUCCCUGCUCCUCGCUGCUGGCAGCCCUGGCAUGCUCCAUUCACUGCCCAAUUCCAGAAUCACGAUCCACCAGCCCUCCGGAGGGGCCAGAGGCCAACCAAGCCACAGACAUCACCAUCCAGGCAGAGGAGAUCAUGAAGCUGAAAAAGCAGCUAUACAACAUCUAUGCCAAACACACCAAGCAGAGCCUGCAGGCGAUUGAGUCAGCCAUGGAGUGGGACCGCUACAUGAGCCCCAUGGAAGCCCAAGAGUUUGGCAUCUUGGACAAGGUCUUGGUCCACCCACCUCAGGACGGGGAGGAUGAGCCAGAACUGGUACAGAAGGAGACUGCCACAGCCCCGAUGGAUCCUCCUGCCCCGGCAGGCACCUAUCCUCUCCAGCAGUGUGAAGACCAAACUGAGGACUGCUACACUUCUUUUGCUGGGGCCAAGAAUGACCCCUGGAGGAGAUGUGGAUUGAGGUUGCCCUCAAAGCAGGGCAGCCUGCCCGAGACACUGUGA